UGCCGCACUAUUAAUUUAAUCCCUAUA
rnacentral:piRNA from 1 species